GAGAGAGAGAGAGAGAGAAAAAUGGAGCCAAGAGAACCCCGAUGGCAACGGCAACCAGACCACAAACCCCACAAAACCCAACAGAUUUUCUCUGGCGCCCGGCACGGGCGGACGGACAGACAGAGGGAUGGCGGGACAGAGAGCAGGGAGAGCCACCGGCCUCGAAGCGCUGCCGACGCUUCUUGAACUUGUACAAAUCGUUCACUCCGACAGCGAGAGCCCCGGCCCCGUUUGCUUGCUUGCACCUCCAUCCCCACGCCCCCAAACCCACAGACCAAACCCGUGAGUGAGCGACUUCUUCCUUCUUCCUUUGGACCUUUUUGCUUUGGUUUCGUGGCUGCUCUUUGCUUCGGGCCCUUGGUUGGGGUGUUGGGCUGGGGUCGAUGUAGCUCUUCCCUUUGUUUCUCUCCGUUUUGGUUUCUUUGAUAUCCAAGGAUAAAAUCAGCUCCGGGCUCCCGGGGCAAGUUUGGGACCUUGGGUGUCCCCGUUGUCACCCCCCCGGUGCCGGGGGUGGCUCCAGCUGGGAGCAGAGAGAGACCCUGCCCCGAUUUUAUCCUUGGUGGUUCUUGUGGAGCAGUGUCCAUGCGGGAGCAGAGCUGUCCUCGUGCAGUCAGUGUGUGAAAGGGGGUGAAAGCCCAGGGUGGGACCCCCGGAGAAGAGCGGGAGCCCCCACAGCUCCCUGGUCCCACCCCAGCGGGAGGGGGGAGGGCUGAGGUUUAUUUUGGGGGGUCAAAUCCAGAGGAAAAGACCCUGAUUUUUUUUAUUUUUCCUAAAUUUUCUGAUUGGAAAUUCCAAUUUUAACCAUCUAUUGAGAUGUUCAGUGCAGGAGGCAGCGCCCCUGGGGCUGGGGCUGCUUCCUUGGGACCCCCUGGAGCAGGGCUGGGGUCUUUCUGCCCCCCUUCCCCUUCCCAGGGCAGGGAUGAGCUUGGAAAGGGCUGAUUUUCCUCUUGGCUCUGAGAGCCCCAACCAACAGCGGCCAAAACAACCGGAUUUGGGAUCUGGGGAGUUCAGGGAUCCCCACAGAGGCUUGGGGGGGGGGUUGGCUCAUCCUUCCUCCUUGCCCUUCCUCCUGCCUCUUCCACCAUCCCUUCCAGAACAAAACCAAACACCUUUCCCAACCUCUCCAGCACAGCCCCAGCUUGGCCCCCCCAGUCAGGGGCUGCCCCCCACGGCAUCAUCAGGACACCCCAGCCUUGGGAUGAGAAUUCCUGGGAUCCCACAUCCCGCUCUGGACAACCAGGGGGUUGCAGGAGCUGCCCUUGGGUGGGCACCUCCCGUGGAUUUGGGGUGGUCUGGAGGAGGGGAGCCGUUUGGGAAGGGGGGAGAACCUCACCUGGGAGGUCACCCCAUGGAUUUGGGGUGGUCUGGAGGACCAGGGGUCCCUUCAGGAAGGAAUGGAAGUCCUCGGGGUGGGAAACCUCACCUGGGAGGUGCAGGAAGAAUUUUACCACCUCUUCCACGGGUCUGGAGGUGUCACCUCCCCUGAACCCUGCCAGCACCUGGCACUGGGUCACCUGUGGGGAGUGAGGUGAGCACAGGGGGCCCAGCUCAGGUGGGAGCCAGGGAU
ensembl:lncRNA